AGAGUUUGAUCCUGGCUCAGAACGAACGCUGGCGGCGUGCCUGAGACAUGCAAGUCGUGGGAGAAAGUCGGGGUAACUCGGCGAGUAAACCGGCGCACGGGUGAGUAACACGUGGAUAACCUGCCUUGGAGUCCGGGAUAACCCGUCGAAAGACGGGCUAAUACCAGAUAAGACCACGAAGAGUUUGCUCUUUGAGGUAAAAGGUGGCCUCUGCUCUUGCAAGCUAUCACUUCGAGAGGGGUCCGCGUCCUAUCAGCUAGUUGGUGAGGUAAUGGCUCACCAAGGCUGAGACGGGUAGCUGGUCUGAGAGGAUGGUCAGCCACACUGGGACUGAGACACGGCCCAGAGUCCUACGGGAUGCAGCAGUCAGGAAUAUUGCGCAAUGGAGGAAACUCUGACGCAGCGACGCCGCGUGGGUGAUGAAGGCCUUCGGGUCGUAAAGCCCUGUCGGAGGGGAAGAAAAGCUGGCUGGCUAAUAUCCAGUCGGCCCCUUGACGGUACCCUCAAAGGAAGCACCGGCUAACUCCGUGCCAGCAGCCGCGGUAAGACGGAGGGUGCAAGCGUUGUUCGGAUUGACUGGGCGUAAAGGGCGUGUAGGCGGUUGGUCAAGUCUGAUGUGAAAGCCCGGAGCUCAGCCCCGGAAGGGCAUCGGAAACUAACCAGCUGGAGCGCGAUAGAGGAGGGCGGAAUUCCUGGUGUAGCGGUGAAAUGCGUAGAUAUCAGGAGGAACACCGGCGGCGAAGGCGGCCCUCUGGAUCGUUGCUGACGCUGAGACGCGAAAGCGUGGGGAGCAAACAGGAUUAGAUACCCCGGUAGUCC
rnacentral:rRNA from 1 species